UAUGGUCACAUCACCUUGAAACACUGGUACCCAUAUGAUCAUCAAAAUUAAGCAACAUCAAGCCUGGUCAGUACCUAGAUGGGUGAUCGUUUGGGAAAACUAGAUACUG